rnacentral:lncRNA from 1 species
CAUUUUCACUCUUGUCUACUUUUACCAAAACAUGUGGCACUUUAAUGCCCUGCAACAUUUAAUUAUAUUCCAUUGCUCCAGAAUAUACAAGUCAUGAUAACAUGUCCUUCCUUGUGUCAUUGCUGUCAUCAGGUUUGGGUGGAGCUGGUGGAGUCCCAGGUGGAGUUGGAAUAGGAACUGGAUAUGGAGGAUAUGGGACUGGGGCAAAACCACCUAAAUAUGGUAAAUUAUUUUAAUUUUUAUACCAAAUAGGAGUUUGAAUAUACUACAGAAACUCUCUAAACUAGGGGUCUCCAACCCUGCUCCUGGAGAGCUAAUUUCCUGUUGACUUCAGUUCCAGCCCUGCUCUAACAAACCUGACAGUUGUUUUCCAAUAAUCCUGAACACCCUGAUUAACUAGUUAAGGUGUGUUUAGUCUCGCAGAGCCAGACCUUCAGACUGAACAUAUUUUACAUUAUUACAACACCUCUCUCCCCAGUCUGGCAUGAACGGCUUGAAUAGUUCCUGUAUCAAAUGAAGGCCUGCCUUUUGAAAUAGUUAGCUGGGCCAGUGUGUGUUGUGAUUGGCUCCACUCGGCACCUGGUCGGGAAAUGUCAUGCUCCUUAUCAUAGCCACCUGAGAGCUUCAGUGUAAAUAUUGCAUCAAAAUCAAAUCAAUUUGAGCGUGAUUUAAACCCGGAUGAUUGUAACCACUCUAAGUUUGUCUGCUUGGGAAAGCUAGCGUGUCUCCGACUUAGUGAUAUAACACUCGCUGCCUUCUCUAGUGCAGUUUAACCAGGUCACUUCCCAUUCGUCGAUCUUUGUGAUAUCACUAAUCCUGGAAAAUAUGCCUUGUAGUCCAAACAAGUCGUUCAUUGAAAAGUGAUUUCUGUUAAAUAAAAUAUCUCCUUUUGAAGUGGACUUUGAGCUUUGUAACGUUGCAGAUUUUUUUUUUUAUGCUCAAACAGCAACAUUACAGACUAACUAAAGUUGAAAAAGUGAAAAAGCAUAAUAGGACCCCUUUAAUUAGUUUUUGAUUAUUUCACCUCAUAUCUGCCUGUGCUAUGCAUUUUAUUAGCUUUCAGAUCAUCACAUUGUCAGCUUAACAUGCUAAUGUAAAACUCUACAGGAAAUCAAU